ACCGUCCAAAAUAUUGGCCCAGAUGCUGUGUAGCUGCUGUCCAAAAAUCACGACGAUCCAACGGUUCAAUCUACGGGAAACGGAACUUUUCUGCUGCUGUGUAUUCUCCUCUCUUCACCUCUCUCUUUUCUUUUAAUAUAUGAAGUCUUUGUAAAAAAAAAACCCUAGCCCUAGACGUUUUUUUAUAAUAAUAUGCUCCCAAAAUAGAAAGUCUAAAUAAGACUUUAAUAUGCUCAAUGGUUGGGCUUUCC
rnacentral:lncRNA from 1 species